rnacentral:misc_RNA from 1 species
GAUGAAGAACGUAGCGAAAUGCGAUAAGUAAUGUGAAUUGCAGAAUUCAGUGAAUCAUCGAAUCUUUGAACGCACAUUGCGCCCGUCAGUAUUCUGGCGGGCAUGCCUGUUCGAGCGUCAUUACGCCCCUCAAGUCCCCUGUGGACUUGGUGUUGGGGAUCGGCGAGGCUGGUUUUCCAGCACAGCCGUCCCUUAAAUUAAUUGGCGGUCUCGCCGUGGCCCUCCUCUGCGCAGUAGUAAAACACUCGCAACAGGAGCCCGGCGCGGUCCACUGCCGUAAAACCCCCCAACUUUUUAUAGUUGACCUCGAAUCAGGUAGGACUACCCGCUGAACUUACGCAUAUCAAUAAGCGGAGGA